rnacentral:rRNA from 1 species
UACGUAGCAGCGAGCGUUGUUCGGAAUUACUGGGCGUAAAGAGUGUGUAGGCGGUGCUCCCAGUCUGUUGUGAAAUCUCCCGGCUUAACUGGGAGGGUGCGGCGGAAACUGGAAUGCUAGAGGAUGGGAGAGGUAAGCGGAAUUCCUGGUGUAGCGGUGAAAUGCGUAGAUAUCAGGAGGAACACCUGUGGUGUAGACAGCUUACUGGACCAUUUCUGACGCUGAGACACGAAAGCGUGGGUAGCAAACAGG